rnacentral:lncRNA from 1 species
UGUUGUUGUUCUCCGACUGAGUCGUUCCAUUUUAUAUGGAUUUCCUCGAGUCCUCCAGCAGUUUUAAGUCGUAAUCUGGCCUACGCGUAACCUCUUUUAUCCCCCUAGAGUCUCGGUCUCCCCAAUGAGUUUUCCUUACGGAAUGCAUUUUACUCCUGCAGACUUUCGGUCUCUCUUACUUCUUUUUCCUUUAUGGCAAUAUUUCCCCACAAAGAAUUUACUUUUACA